UUAUAAUUGUAUAAAUUAUAUUCAAUUUUUCUAUUUGUAUAAAAUUAACUGGUUUAUUAUUUA
rnacentral:tRNA from 1 species